AGCGAACGCUGGCGGCAGGCCUAAAACAUGCAAGUCGAACGCCCGUAGCAAUACGGGAGUGGCAGACGGGUGAGUAACACGUGGGAACGUACCCUUUGGUUCGGAACAACACAGGGAAACUUGUGCUAAUACCGGAUAAGCCCUUACGGGGAAAGAUUUAUCGCCAGAGGAUCGGCCCGCGUCUGAUUAGCUUGUUGGUGAGGUAACGGCUCACCAAGGCUACGAUCAGUAGCUGGCUGAGAGGAUGAUCAGCCACACUGGGACUGAGACACGGCCCAGACUCCUACGGGAGGCAGCAGUGGGGAAUAUUGCGCAAUGGACGAAAGUCUGACGCAGCAACGCCGCGUGAGGGAUGACGGCCU
rnacentral:rRNA from 1 species